rnacentral:lncRNA from 1 species
AUUUUAGAAGCCAGAAUGAAGGACUUGCUGUAAAGAGGACACUGGAAAACUCUGUCCCAGAAAGAAAAAUCAUUGAGGGAAGCAAGAACUUAUUUUCCUGGAAGUGAAAACGAGCUGUAUUUCUGAGUUCAGAACUGCUUCUCCUUGAAAGAGGCCUCUGAAGAUUGUGGUUUGAUGAGACAGAAACUUCUGAAGUGGGAUGAAGGAAAUGUCUGGUCCAGAAUCCUGUUUGGGAAGUUGGUUCCUCCCAGCACAGACCCUGCAGCUGAUCACCUGCUGUGGGUCCACGUGAAGCAGAAACCAGCCGAGUCGAAAUUCUGUGCUUUUGUGACCCAAAGUAUCGAUUCCUCGGGUGUUCAGGGAAUUAUCAGUGAAGGACUUUGCACUUACCUGCGCCAUGGAUGUGGAUGUGGCUGGAAAAGCCUUUGUUCUCUCAUCCCACUUUGUUCACCACCCCACAGCUCGGCCCAGGAUCACUCACUGGCAUCAAUUCCUGCCUGGAAUUUUGGAACUCUUCAACCUGUGCCAGCGCUUCUCUGGUAUUUCACACAGGAAUUCGUGUUCCUUCCCUGCCCCGCUUCAUCCAGUAACAACAAAAAUCACUUUGAAGUGUUCACAGCCAAGACCUGGCAGAGGGAAAUGAGGGCUCUGAGCUCGCUUCAGAUGCAAAGCCAAUACAGAGUCCCCAUUGCAGGCUGA